UACGAAGGGGGCAAGCGUUGUUCGGAAUGACUGGGCGUAAAGGGCGCGUAGGCGGUGCGUUGCGUCAGAUGUGAAAUCCCCGGGCUCAACCUGGGAAUGGCAUUUGAUACGGGCGUACUGGAAUCCGUGAGAGGUUGGUGGAAUUCCCAGUGUAGAGGUGAAAUUCGUAGAUAUUCGGAAGAACACCAGUGGCGAAGGCGGCUCACUGGCCCGUUACCGACGCUCAGGCGCGACAGCGUGGGGAGCAAACAGG
rnacentral:rRNA from 1 species